rnacentral:precursor_RNA from 1 species
CUCUCCUCUUCCUCCCCCUCCUCCAUACAUACCGACCUUUCUACCUUCACUUCCGGAUCUCCCCUCCUCCCUGCACCACAUCUCGUACCCCCAAAAAGCUGAGAGGUAGGCCGGGAGCGAGCUGAGACACAUAGAUACAGGAGGUGGUAGAACCAUCAAGAUGCAAGCGAGGUCAAGGCGGAUAAGCUAGCUAGCUGGAGAUACACAUACUCUACUAUACUCCAUAAUAUGGAUAGAUCAGGAAGCCUUUCGUCUUUGAGGGGAAUGUUGUCUGGCUCGGGGCCGCCGCCGCCGCUCCUUCCUUCUCUAGUCUCUCUUCUCUCCUAGCAGCUACUCUUCGCUUCCUACUCCUAUCUCGAUCCCUCUCUUCUUCUUCUUCUUCUUCUUCCUCUUCCCCCCUCUCUUGGAUCGAGACCGAGCGGACGGAGACGAGUGGUGUAGAUCUCGGACCAGGCUUCAUUCCCCCCAAAAUGAAGGGCUCCCCAUGAUCUUGAUCUGCGCGGGCCUCCACCUCCAUCAGAUGAGCUCCAUCCGCUGGUCAAGCUGGGGGUACGUACAUGCAAAUCUGAACCGGGUAAGCUAAUAUAGCUGAUUUGCUGAAUA